rnacentral:lncRNA from 1 species
CAAAUAUAUAUUGUAUAAAUUUUUGAUACAUAUUUCAGAACGUGCAACGGGUGCUCAACACACAAGAAAAAAUAUAUUUCAUGCUAUUAUGUGUCGGCACACAAAAGGUUUUUUGACUGGCACACAUCGGCACUGCUCGACACGCACCGUGCCGUACCGUGCCGGUAAGUUUCCAGCAUGACCCCAUGCCACGGCACUUAAAUCCUUGACUGGGAUACGUAUAACUUCAGAAAUAAGCAUGAACAUUAUCAAUUUUGUAUUUGGAUUAAAAAAAAAAACUGGAUUAAUCCUACGAAUAAGAAAAAUAGCAUUUGGAUGGUUAGAUUGCAAUAUAAAAAAUAAGAAUAAUUAUAAGUUUAAAAUAAAAUUAUUUUAUCUAAUUAAUUAAUUUUACCUAAUUAAAUAAUAAUUUAAUAAAUUAAUAAAUUUUUAACUAUAAAUAUUGUAUAAGAN